UACGUAGGGUGCGAGCGUUAAUCGGAAUUACUGGGCGUAAAGCGUGCGCAGGCGGUGAUGUAAGACAGUUGUGAAAUCCCCGGGCUCAACCUGGGAACUGCAUUUGUGACUGCAUGGCUAGAGUACGGUAGAGGGGGAUGGAAUUCCGCGUGUAGCAGUGAAAUGCGUAGAUAUGCGGAGGAACACCGAUGGCGAAGGCAGCCCCCUGGGCCGACACUGACGCUCAUGCACGAAAGCGUGGGGAGCAAACAGG
rnacentral:rRNA from 1 species